rnacentral:rRNA from 1 species
GACGUAGGGCGCGAGCGUUGUCCGGAUUUAUUGGACGUAAAGAGCUCGUAGGCGGCUUGUUGCGUCGGCUGUGAAAUCCCGUGGCUUAACUGCGGGCUUGCAGCUGAUACGGGCGGGCUGGAGUUCGGUAGGGGAGACUGGAAUUCCUGGUGUAGCGGUGAAAUGCGCAGAUAUCAGGAGGAACACCAAUGGCGAAGGCAGCUCACUGGGACGAUACUGACGCUGAGACGCGAAAGCGUGGGGAGCAAACAGG